rnacentral:rRNA from 1 species
UACGUAGGGGCGAGCGUUGUCCGGAAUUACUGGGCGUAAAGGGCGCGUAGGCGGCCUGAUAAGUUUCGUGUGAAAACCCUGUUUUUAAGGCAGGAGGUGCACGGAAAACUGUUUGGCUUGAGUGCAGGAGAGGGAAGCGGAAUUCCAAGUGUAGCGGUAAAAUGCGCAGAUAUUUGGAGGAACACCGGUGGCGAAGGCGGCUUCCUGGACUGUAACUGACGCUGAUGCGCGAAAGCGUGGGGAGCAAACAGGAUUAGAUACUCGUGUAGUCCCUGAGCGGG